GCUUACGGCCAUACCACCCUGAGAACGCCCGAUCUCGUCUGAUCUCGGAAGCUAAGCAUGGUUGGGCCUGGUUAGUACUUGGGUGGGAGACCGCCUGGGAAUACCAGGUGCUGUAAGCU
ensembl:rRNA 5S_rRNA 5S ribosomal RNA